rnacentral:rRNA from 1 species
CCCGGGCCUUGUACACACCGCCCGUCACACCACGAGAGUUUGCAACACCCGAAGUCGGUGGGGUAACCCUUACGGGAGCCAGCCGCCGAAGGUGGGGCAGAUGAUUGGGGUG